GUCGACUGAAGAGGUUGUUGCUGAACCAGAGCGCAGUGAAUACACAGAGCAAACGAAAUUGAAGGCCUCACCAUCUAAUGAGGCCAGUAAAGAGGAUGAAGUGCUUCGUGAGGAGCAGGCAGCUGUCCAGAUACAACGGGCUUUCCGUAACCACUUGGUAAGAUUCCGCAUGUUCGAGACUACGAUAAUAGAGGGGUUUCCUUCAUGAUGCCCUGCUGAAGUGAAUGCAUUCCUACACAGAUGUGAAUAUGGAUUACUUGCUUUUUUUAUAUUUUGUUAAACGCUUCUUACAUUUCUGAGCAACAGAAGGGAGCUGUCUCUCGACUAUGCAGACCUGUGUACUGUAGCUAGCCAUCGAAACAUGUUUUAAAAGUUGUAGACCAGCUGAUUUUCUAUCAAUGCUCACUGGGUUCUUUGAAGGCUUUGAGAGGACUAGUUCGUCUCCAAGCCUUAGUGCGAGGACAUACUGUGCGAAGGCAAGCUGCAACAACAUUAAAGGCGAUGGAGGCUCUUGUUCGUGUGCAAGCCCGUGUUCGUGCUCGUCGAGUGAGGAUGUCAGAGGAAGGACAGGCUGUACAGCAACAAAUUCUUCAACGGCGUCAAGGCUUGGCUCGACCCAAACUCACAGUAUGAUGCACUGCUACCUGCUGAAAUUUAAUUCCAACGUUGUGAUAAGUCAAAUUCCGAUUGAUCGAUCCCCCCCCCCUUCUCAUCUGAAAAUAAAUUCACGAAAACGUGAAAAGGAAACUUUUACUUUUCUAGUACUCUUCCAUAGAUUAUCUGCAGCAAUGUUGAUAACGCAUUUCAAAAUAAAUUAUUUUUGAUCAACCUAGUGUCAGCAUCACCCUGAAUCUUCGUUUUAAAAUGCCGUUAUGCCCUCUUUUGCUUAGGAGGGGACCUGGACCACAGGUAAGGAUACGAAAGAAAAAUUGCAAAUUCGGGAAAAGGCAGCCAAGAAGCGAGAAAGGGCAAUGGCAUAUGCAUUCUCACAGCAGGUACAUACUGAGCGGUCGAACGAAGCUCUGAACUGAAAUCCUUCAUACGUAAGAUUGUAGCGCUUUAUUUUCACUUUCUGUUGGAAUUCUUGUAGCAUCUUCUGACAUGUCUGAGUUUUGAAUUCUCUUUUUCAGCUUAAACGAAGUGCUCCGAAGCGUAACAUGCUAUUUAUAGACAGCGAGCCAGAUCAAUCACAUUGGGGUUGGAGCUGGAUGGAUCGAUGGAUGGCCGCCCGCCCUUGGGAAAAUCGUCAUAUUGAACAUACAAAAGAGAGCCAUCAAAGCAUUCCCUCUCUCAAAUUGUUGGAGGCCAAGACAAAGAAUAUAAUAGUGGACGGCGUCAGUUCGAAGACUGCUCGGCCUCCACCCCAAGUGACUUCACUAGUGGAAAAAUCAGAAGACAAGCCUAAGAAAGGUCGUCGCACAAAUGGAGUAAGUGGAAAUAUUCCGUUGCCUCUUCCAUCUCCACCUCCCCCUGCUGAGCCCUUGCUAUCCAAGCCCGACGUUCAAAGAAAGGCUCUAUCACCUGAAAGGCCAGCACUUCCUUCUAUGCCUAAGUCAACCUGUCCGCCCCCUUUGCCUUCCGAAGAGAUCCUGGAAACUGCAGGUCAUGAGAGCGACGCUGGUCCUCUCUCGCCAACAGACGGUUCCUCUUUCCAUCAUCAACUUACUUCCGAUCAUCCAUCCUUUAAUGACUGUCCUACCGCGACGUCAAUUGAGGAGACCCUGGAGCAUGAUCCCAGCUGCAGUGGUUCUUGUGGAUCUGAGCAUGGAAAUGACGAAGAAUCGUUAACGAAAGCCCACCCUCAGGAUUCGCCAAACUUAGGUAUUCAUCGAUUUUGAACCCAAUGCUUUGCUGGACGUUGCUAUUGGAUCUGUUUCAACAGUCUUACUUGGAAGUUUUUGGUAUGGAUAUGAUCAAGGACAUUAGAUAGUUAGUUGAAAUCCGAUGUCAAAUUAGUGCUGAUAUUUUAGUUCAUCCUUGCUAUCUAUCCACACCAGGAAAGUAAAUAUGUCUGUCACAAGGCCGCAGGUGCCGCUUAUUCAAAAUCAUUACAUCUUUCGCUUCUGUUUGUGAACUAGCAAGCAUUAAACUAGCCCAGACAAAUAUACCUGGGUUUCAAGUAUCACGAUCUCUCUUGUCAUUUUUAUAAUAGCCACCCUUACAAAUACUUUCGUGUAGGGUCCAUAUUUUAAUGGAUUCCAAUUGAUGCCUUGUGCAGACCGUUUGAAGACGGGCGUUGAUUUGACCAAUAUACCGAACACCGAGAAAGGAGACAAUGGAGAGAACAGUGUUCCCACAAGUCAGAAGUCAACUAGGAACCGGUACAUGGCUCCCACCGUUUCUGCGAAAGCCAAAUUACGCAGUAGUCCCAAGACUAGGGUGGAGGGAGAAGAGUCACCUGCCAAACUGCAGAAGCGACUCUCUUUUGGUAGCCCCCCAGUUGCAAGACCCAAGGCUCCGAAUCUGACUGCUGCAGCUCGAUCUAAGUCUAUCUCUCAGGUUUCAUAUUGUCCUAAUGCUUUUGAAGUGGAUGUUUUUAUCAUAGAUGCUGUUUGAAGUGAGAAGUAAUAUGGCUUCGGACGAAUAAGACAAUGUAACUUAGGAGGCAAGUCAGAAUAAACUAUCAAUAAUUUAUUGUUACAUGUUUAAACAUGUUUAAUGUUACAAGUUGCUAUUGUAAUGGUUACUAAGGCAUUAGUGUUGCAGUACUCCAGAUGAGAUGAAAACUUAGGACGUGGACAGACAUUGACACUCUGCUUAAAAUUCUAUCCUCAGGUACGAACUAGUCUUCCGGGAGCACUCUUCAAAGAAAAAUCUGGUGAGGUUCUUAGUCCUGUUGACUCCAGUGCUCACUCACUUCAGAGAAGAAAGUCUUUUGGAGGAGAGCCUAGAUCUGCAACAAAGUGGAGGUAGCGAAAAUCGUGGAAUCUCGAUUUGUAUCACCAAUAGCUUUGGUGCUAUACCAAUAGAGGACCAACUAUCUGAUACUUCUUUUUCACUGUCCAGCAUCGUUAAAAAAAUUACUGUUAUAAUCCAAGUUCAUUUGAAUCCGUCAGAAGUGAACAUGCUAAUGCAUUCCUGAGGAUGCUUGGUUAAGAUGUUCAAAAGCAUUUGGUAGCUAAUAGGUCCAAUAUCAACCGUGGUUUUCCCACGACAGAAACAAUCAUACUCUCGGGGUAUCAAAUACUUGUAGAGGUUGUCUCCUAGUGCAUGCAGGUGCAGUGGGCACUCUGACGGCGCUGGAUAACUAGGCUUUUAUUGUAGAUGAUCA
rnacentral:lncRNA from 1 species